CCCGACGCCCUGUCCUCUCUAUCUCCUUGUAGCUCUCCACAAGCUGCAACUCUCUCGCGAAGCUCGACGACCGUCUUUGCUCUCUCGCGAAGCUCGACGUUCUCUACUCUAUUGGAAGCUCAACGUUCUCUGCUCUCUUGCGAAGCUCGAAGUUCUCUUCUCUCGCAAAGCUCGGCGUCUCUCAGUCUCGUCAAUCUCACGAAGGAGAAAAUCAGUGAUUAGCGCGCUCUCGGUCUCUCUUGCUGUUCGCGCUGGUACUCUGUCUUCGCACUUGGGUUUGAUUGCUCUGUGCGGAAGCUCUGGGGUUGCAUUGUCACCUGGUUAGGGCUUGUAUCUAAGCCAGAAAUUUGUUAGUUCUUGAAUCAAAUCGUUGGCAGGGCUUCUGGGUUGAAGAUUCUUGGAUUGGAAGCUUUGAUAUAGAGUAACGGCAGAGGGAGUUUGUAAAGUACUAAGGAGUUCUACAAGGUUGGACUUACACUCCCCAACUGUUUGAUUAAAAGUCGCUGUGAAUUCAUGGACAUUGGUAGUGAAUAAUGAUUUGGCAUUUUAUUUGCAUU